GAAUGCUGACAUAAGUAACGAUAAAGCGGGUGAAAAGCCCGCUCGCCGGAAGACCAAGGGUUCCUGUCCAACGUUAAUCGGGGCAGGGUGAGUCGACCCCUAAGGCGAGGCCGAAAGGCGUAGUCGAUGGGAAACGGGUUAAUAUUCCCGUACUUGGUGUUACUGCGAAGGGGGGACGGAGAAGGCUAUGUUGGCCGGGCGACGGUUGUCCCGGUUUAAGCGUGUAGGUGUGUGUUCCAGGUAAAUCCGGUUCACUUUAACACUGAGGCGUGACGACGAGGCACUACGGUGCUGAAGCAACAAAUGCCCUGCUUCCAGGAAAAGCCUCUAAGCAUCAGGUAACAUCAAAUCGUACCCCAAACCGACACAGGUGGUCAGGUAGAGAAUACCAAGGCGCUUGAGAGAACUCGGGUGAAGGAACUAGGCAAAAUGGUGCCGUAACUUCGGGAGAAGGCACGCUGACACGUAGGUGAAGUGAUUUACUCAUGGAGCUGAAGUCAGUCGAAGAUACCAGCUGGCUGCAACUGUUUAUUAAAAACACAGCACUGUGCAAACACGAAAGUGGACGUAUACGGUGUGACGCCUGCCCGGUGCCGGAAGGUUAAUUGAUGGGGUCAGCGCAAGCGAAGCUCCUGAUCGAAGCCCCGGUAAACGGCGGCCGUAACUAUAACGGUCCUAAGGUAGCGAAAUUCCUUGUCGGGUAAGUUCCGACCUGCACGAAUGGCGUAAUGAUGGCCAGGCUGUCUCCACCCGAGACUCAGUGAAAUUGAACUCGCUGUGAAGAUGCAGUGUACCCGCGGCAAGACGGAAAGACCCCGUGAACCUUUACUAUAGCUUGACACUGAACAUUGAGCCUUGAUGUGUAGGAUAGGUGGGAGGCUUUGAAGUGUGGACGCCAGUCUGCAUGGAGCCGACCUUGAAAUACCACCCUUUAAUGUUUGAUGUUCUAACGUGGACCCGUUACCCGGGUUGCGGACAGUGUCUGGUGGGUAGUUUGACUGGGGCGGUCUCCUCCUAAAGAGUAACGGAGGAGCACGAAGGUUGGCUAAUCCUGGUCGGACAUCAGGAGGUUAGUGCAAUGGCAUAAGCCAGCUUGACUGCGAGCGUGACGGCGCGAGCAGGUGCGAAAGCAGGUCAUAGUGAUCCGGUGGUUCUGAAUGGAAGGGCCAUCGCUCAACGGAUAAAAGGUACUCCGGGGAUAACAGGCUGAUACCGCCCAAGAGUUCAUAUCGACGGCGGUGUUUGGCACCUCGAUGUCGGCUCAUCACAUCCUGGGGCUGAAGUAGGUCCCAAGGGUAUGGCUGUUCGCCAUUUAAAGUGGUACGCGAGCUGGGUUUAGAACGUCGUGAGACAGUUCGGUCCCUAUCUGCCGUGGGCGCUGGAGAACUGAGGGGGGCUGCUCCUAGUACGAGAGGACCGGAGUGGACGCAUCACUGGUGUUCGGGUUGUCAUGCCAAUGGCACUGCCCGGUAGCUAAAUGCGGAAGAGAUAAGUGCUGAAAGCAUCUAAGCACGAAACUUGCCCCGAGAUGAGUUCUCCCUGAGACU
rnacentral:rRNA from 1 species